GGGGAAUUUUGCGCAAUGGACGAAAGUCUGACGCAGCAACGCCGCGUGGAGGAAGAAGCUCCUUUGGAGUGUAAACUUCUGUUAAUUAGGAAGAAAAGAUAGUAGUUAAUACCUAUUAUUUAUGACGUUACUAGUAAAGAAAGCACCGGCUAAUCUCGUGCCAGCAGCCGCGGUAAUACGAGAGGUGCAAGCGUUAUUCGGAAUUAUUGGGCGUAAAGGGCGCGUAGGCGGCUUUAUAAGUUUCUUGUUUAAGACUUCGGCCUAACUGAAGAAAAGCAAGGAAUACUGUAUAGCUAGAGUAUAAUAGAGAGAAGUGGAAUUUUCGGAGUAGCGGUUAAAUGCGUAGAUCUCGAAAGGAACGCCAAUGGCGAAGGCAGCUUCUUGGGUUAUUACUGACGCUGAGGCGCGAAGGCAUGGGGAGCAAAC
rnacentral:rRNA from 1 species